rnacentral:rRNA from 1 species
AACGAACGCUGGCGGCAGGCCUAACACAUGCAAGUCGAACGCCCUAGCAAUAGGGAGUGGCAGACGGGUGAGUAACGCGUGGGAACCUUCCCUGUGGUGCGGAAUAACUCGCCGAAAGGCGUGCUAAUACCGCAUAAGCCCGCAAGGGGAAAGAUUUAUCGCCAUAGGAUGGGCCCGCGUAGGAUUAGCUAGUUGGUGAGGUAAUGGCUCACCAAGGCGACGAUCCUUAGCGGUUUGAGAGAAUGACCAGCCACACUGGGACUGAGACACGGCCCAGACUCCUACGGGAGGCAGCAGUGGGGAAUCUUGGACAAUGGGCGCAAGCCUGAUCCAGCCAUGCCGCGUGAGUGACGAAGGCCUUCGGUUGUAAG